GCAGCCACCUUUUAAAACGCGUCAAAGCGUAACCUAAACCCCCCCAAAAUACCAUUAAUUUUCAUGAACCCCUAAUUUAUAAUGAAUGACUCCAUAUUUAUAUGGAAGACACCAUGCUAGGAUUAGUAACAAGAAUUUAUAAUUCUCCAAAAUGCAAAUAUAAACCAACAUGGAUAGACCAUUGGUAGUUACCGAACCUAAAUUUACUGCAAUAACACCCACAAGAAAACUCUGCAGUACUUACUCGUUAACCUAACACCAGCGCAUUACAGGAAAGAUUAAAAAAAAGAGAAGGAAUUCGGCAAAUGACGGCCCCGCCUGUUUACCAAAAACAUCGCCUCUUGACUUAUAAUAAGAGGUCCAGCCUGCCCAGUGAAUUUUAAACGGCCGCGGUAUCCUAACCGCGCGAAGGUAGCAUAAUCACUUGUUCUUUAAAUGGGGACUCGUAUCAACGGCAUCACGAGGGUUUUACUGUCUCCUCUUUUUGAUCAGUGAAAUUGAUCUUCCCGUGAAGAAGCGGGGAUAUUUUUAUAAGACGAGAAGACCCCAUGGAGCUUUAAACCAAAUAACAACUUAACUACUUAUCCCACAAUAAAUUUAAGCCCUGUUAUAAGGUUUUUGGUUGGGGUGACCGCGGAGUAAAGCACAUCCUCCACGACGGAAAGAACAUAAUCUUUAUUUAAGAACCACACUUCUAGAAAUUAGUAUACUAACGUUUACUGACCCGACAAUCGAUCAACGGACCAAGUUACCCUGGGGAUAACAGCGCAAUCUACUUCAAGAGCUCAUAUCGACAAGUAGGCUUACGACCUCGAUGUUGGAUCAGGGUAUCCCGGUGGUGCAGCCGCUACCGAAGGUUCGUUUGUUCAACGAUUAAAACCCUACGUGAUC
rnacentral:rRNA from 1 species